UACGGGGGGAGCAAGCGUUGUUCGGAUUUACUGGGCGUAAAGGGCGCGUAGGCGGCCAGCACAAGUCAGUUGUGAAGUCUCCGAGCUUAACUCGGAACGGUCAACUGAUACUGUGCGGCUAGAGUGCGGAAGGGGCAACUGGAAUUCUUGGUGUAGCGGUGAAAUGCGUAGAUAUCAAGAGGAACACCUGCGGCGAAGGCGGGUUGCUGGGCCGACACUGACGCUGAGGCGCGAAAGCCAGGGGAGCGAACGGG
rnacentral:rRNA from 1 species